UGGGGAAUAUUGGACAAUGGGCGCAAGCCUGAUCCAGCCAUGCCGCGUGUGUGAAGAAGGCCUUCGGGUUGUAAAGCACUUUUGUUGGGGAAGAAACCGACCGGAUUAAUACUUCGGUUGAAUGACGGUACCCAAAGAAUAAGCACCGGCUAACUUCGUGCCAGCAGCCGCGGUAAUACGAAGGGUGCAAGCGUUACUCGGAAUUACUGGGCGUAAAGCGUGCGUAGGCGGUUAGUUAAGUCUGCUGUGAAAGCCCUGGGCUCAACCUGGGAACUGCAGUGGAUACUGGCUAGCUAGAGUGUGUCAGAGGAUGGUGGAAUUCCCGGUGUAGCGGUGAAAUGCGUAGAGAUGUGGAGGAACACCAGUGGCGAAGGCGGCUUUCUGGUCUAUAACUGACGCUGAGGCGCGAAAGCGUGGGGAGCAA
rnacentral:rRNA from 1 species